UCUUCUUCUUCAGUAAAGAGAGACGCACAGACGAUCAGACUGAGUUCAGACCAAACUAGCAGCUUCCUCUGAGUGAGUCCAGCUACAGGAGAGAAAAGUGGAAAACUCCAACACUGCUGCUUCAAGCUGCUGACGCUCCACACACUGAAUUUUCACUCACAGACUCAAUGGCUUCCAGAUCAGAGGAGGAUCUCUGCUGUCAGGAGAGAGAUCAGAGAGCUUCAGAGGCUCUCUGCAGUCUGCACUCUGAGAAACUCAAACUCUUCUGUCUGGACCAUCAGCAGCCAGCGUGUCUCGUCUGCUAUGUCUCAGAAAAACACACCAAUCACAGAUUCAGACCCAUCAAUGAAGCUGCACAACAACACAAGAAGGAACUUCAGGAAACUCUGGAGCCCUUAAAGA